GAGUUUGAUCAUGGCUCAGAUUAAACGCUGGCGGCAGGCCUAACACAUGCAAGUCGAACGGUAACAGGAAGAAGCUUGCUUCUUUGCUGACGAGUGGCGGACGGGUGAGUAAUGUCUGGGAAACUGCCUGAUGGAGGGGGAUAACUACUGGAAACGGUAGCUAAUACCGCAUAACGUCGCAAGACCAAAGAGGGGGACCUUCGGGCCUCUUGCCAUCGGAUGUGCCCAGAUGGGAUUAGCUAGUAGGUGGGGUAACGGCUCACCUAGGCGACGAUCCCUAGCUGGUCUGAGAGGAUGACCAGCCACACUGGAACUGAGACACGGUCCAGACUCCUACGGGAGGCAGCAGUGGGGAAUAUUGCACAAUGGGCGCAAGCCUGAUGCAGCCAUGCCGCGUGUAUGAAGAAGGCCUUCGGUUGUAAAGUACUUUCAGCGGGGAGGAAGGGAGUAAAGUUAAUACCUUUGCUCAUUGACGUUACCCGCAGAAGAAGCACCGGCUAACUCCGUGCCAGCAGCCGCGGUAAUACGGAGGGUGCAAGCGUUAAUCGGAAUUACUGGGCGUAAAGCGCACGCAGGCGGAUUGUUAAGUCAGAUGUGAAAUCCCCGGGCUCAACCUGGGAACUGCAUCUGAUACUGGCAAGCUUGAGUCUCGUAGAGGGGGGUAGAAUUCCAGGUGUAGCGGUGAAAUGCGUAGAGAUCUGGAGGAAUACCGGUGGCGAAGGCGGCCCCCUGGACGAAGACUGACGCUCAGGUGCGAAAGCGUGGGGAGCAAACAGGAUUAGAUACCCUGGUAGUCCACGCCGUAAACGAUGUCGACUUGGAGGUUGUGCCCUUGAGGCGUGGCUUCCGGAGCUAACGCGUUAAGUCGACCGCCUGGGGAGUACGGCCGCAAGGUUAAAACUCAAAUGAAUUGACGGGGGCCCGCGCAAGCGGUGGAGCAUGUGGUUUAAUUCGAUGCAACGCGAAGGACCUUACCUGGUCUUGACAUCCACGGAAGUUUUCAGAGAUGAGAAUGUGCCUUCGGGAACCGUGAGACAGGUGCUGCAUGGCUGUCGUCAGCUCGUGUUGUGAAAUGUUGGGUUAAGUCCCGCAACGAGCGCAACCCUUAUCCUUUGUUGCCAGCGGUCCGGCCGGGAACUCAAAGGAGACUGCCAGUGAUAAACUGGAGGAAGGUGGGGUUGACGUCAAGUCAUCAUGGCCCUUACGACCAGGGCUACACAUGUGCUACAAUGGCGCAUACAAAGAGAAGCGACCUCGCGAGAGCAAGCGGACCUCAUAAAGUGCGUCGUAGUCCGGAUUGGAGUCUGCAACUCGACUCCAUGAAGUCGGAAUCGCUAGUAAUCGUGGAUCAGAAUGCCACGGUGAAUACGUUCCCGGGCCUUGUACACACCGCCCGUCACACCAUGGGAGUGGGUUGCAAAAGAGGUAGGUAGCUUAACCUUCGGGAGGGCGCUUACCACUUUGUGAUUCAUGACUGGGGUGAAGUCGUAACAAGGUA
rnacentral:rRNA from 1 species